CCUCCCUCCUCUUCCUCCUUCCUCCUCCUUCUCCUCUUCCUCUUCCUCCUUUCUCUCUUCCUCUUCCUCCUCCUCUUCCUUCUUCCUCUUCCUCUUCCUUCCUCUUCUUCUUCCUCCCCUCACUUCCUCCCCUCUUCCUCCCCUCUUCCUCCCCUCUUCCUCCCCUCUUCCUCCCCUCUUCCUCCCCUCUUCCUCCCCUCUUCCUCCCCUCUUCCUCCCCUCUUCCUCCCCUCUCUCUUUCCUAUAUCUCUCCUCCUUCCUAUCCUUCCUUUCCUUCCUCCUCUCCUUCUCCCUCCCCUUCCUCCUUCUCUUUCCCUCCUAAACCUCUUCCUUCCUCCCCUCUCCCCCCCCAUCCUCCUCUUCCUCCUUAACCCCCCCAUCCCCCCCUGCCCCCCAACAGGACAACUGUCGCCUGACCCCCAACUCAGGCCAGGAGGACGCCGACAACGACGGCAUCGGGGACCAAUGUGACGAUGACGCCGAUGGCGACGGCAUCAAGAACGUCGAGGUUUGGGGGGGGUCACUUAUGGGGUC
rnacentral:lncRNA from 1 species